GAGGCGAUGAAGGGCGUGCUAAUCUGCGAUAAGCGUCGGUAAGGUGAUAUGAACCGCAACAACCGACGAUACCCGAAUGGGGAAACCCAGUGCAAUCCGUUGCACUAUCAUGUCAUGAAUACAUAGUGGCAUGAGGCGAACCGGGGGAACUGAAACAUCUAAGUACCCCGAGGAAAAGAAAUCAACCGAGAUUCCCCCAGUAGCGGCGAGCGAACGGGGAACAGCCCAGAACCUGAAUCAGUUUGUGCCUUAGUGGAAGCGUCUGGAAAGUCGCGCAGUAAAGGGUGACAGCCCCGUACACAAAAAGGCACUUGCUGUGAGUUCGAUGAGUAGGGCGGGACACGUGACAUCCUGUCUGAAUAUGGGGGGACCAUCCUCCAAGGCUAAAUACUCCUGACUGACCGAUAGUGAACCAGUACCGUGAGGGAAAGGCGAAAAGAACCCCGGCGAGGGGAGUGAAACAGAACCUGAAACCGUGUACGUACAAGCAGUGGGAGCACCUUCGUGGUGUGACUGCGUACCUUUUGUAUAAUGGGUCAGCGACUUAUAUUCUGUAGCAAGGUUAACCGUAUAGGGGAGCCGCAGGGAAACCGAGUCUUAACUGGGCGUUAAGUUGCAGGGUAUAGACCCGAAACCCGGUGAUCUAGCCAUGGGCAGGUUGAAGGUUGGGUAACACUAACUGGAGGACCGAACCGACUAAUGUUGAAAAAUUAGCGGAUGACCUGUGGCUGGGGGUGAAAGGCCAAUCAAACCGGGAGAUAGCUGGUUCUCCCCGAAAGCUAUUUAGGUAGCGCCUCGUGAAUUCAUCUCCGGGGGUAGAGCACUGUUUCGGCUAGGGGGCCAUCCCGGCUUACCAACCCGAUGCAAACUGCGAAUACCGGAGAAUGUUAUCACGGGAGACACACGGCGGGUGCUAACGUCCGUCGUGAAGAGGGAAACAACCCAGACCGCCAGCUAAGGUCCCAAAGUCAUGGUUAAGUGGGAAACGAUGUGGGAAGGCACAGACAGCCAGGAUGUUGGCUUAGAAGCAGCCAUCAUUUAAAGAAAGCGUAAUAGCUCACUGGUCGAGUCGGCCUGCGCGGAAGAUGUAACGGGGCUAAACCAUGCACCGAAGCUGCGGCAGCGGACGUAUCACCCAAGCAGAUUCACUGAAGUGGAUAACGAUUGACGGAGCGCAGCGACGUCAAUGCGCCAUCAAAGUCGAGUCGACUUCGGGAUACGUCCGUUGGGUAGGGGAGCGUUCUGUAAGCCGUCGAAGGUGUGCUGUGAGGCAUGCUGGAGGUAUCAGAAGUGCGAAUGCUGACAUAAGUAACGAUAAAGCGGGUGAAAAGCCCGCUCGCCGGAAGACCAAGGGUUCCUGUCCAACGUUAAUCGGGGCAGGGUGAGUCGACCCCUAAGGCGAGGCCGAAAGGCGUAGUCGAUGGGAAACGGGUUAAUAUUCCCGUACUGGGUGUUACUGCGAAGGGGGGACGGAGAAGGCUAUGUUAGCCGGGCGACGGUUGUCCCGGUUUAAGCGUGCAGGCUUGAGUUCCAGGCAAAUCCGGAACUCUUUAAGGCUGAGGCGUGAUGACGAGGCACCACGGUGCUGAAGUAACAAAUGCCCUGCUUCCAGGAAAAGCCUCUAAGCAUCAGGUAACAUCCAAUCGUACCCCAAACCGACACAGGUGGUCAGGUAGAGAAUACCAAGGCGCUUGAGAGAACUCGGGUGAAGGAACUAGGCAAAAUGGUGCCGUAACUUCGGGAGAAGGCACGCUGGCGCGUAGGUGAAGCGACUUGCUCGUGGAGCUGAAGCCAGUCGAAGAUACCAGCUGGCUGCAACUGUUUAUUAAAAACACAGCACUGUGCAAACACGAAAGUGGACGUAUACGGUGUGACGCCUGCCCGGUGCCGGAAGGUUAAUUGAUGGGGUUAUCCGUAAGGAGAAGCUCUUGAUCGAAGCCCCGGUAAACGGCGGCCGUAACUAUAACGGUCCUAAGGUAGCGAAAUUCCUUGUCGGGUAAGUUCCGACCUGCACGAAUGGCGUAAUGAUGGCCAGGCUGUCUCCACCCGAGACUCAGUGAAAUUGAACUCGCUGUGAAGAUGCAGUGUACCCGCGGCAAGACGGAAAGACCCCGUGAACCUUUACUACAGCUUGACACUGAACAUUGAGCCUUGAUGUGUAGGAUAGGUGGGAGGCUUUGAAGCGUGGACGCCAGUCUGCGUGGAGCCAACCUUGAAAUACCACCCUUUAACGUUUGAUGUUCUAACCUGGCGCCGUAAUCCGGCGUGGGGACAGUGUCUGGUGGGUAGUUUGACUGGGGCGGUCUCCUCCCAAAGAGUAACGGAGGAGCACGAAGGUCAGCUAAUCACGGUCGGACAUCGUGAGGUUAGUGCAAUGGCAUAAGCUGGCUUGACUGCGAGAGUGACGGCUCGAGCAGGUGCGAAAGCAGGUCAUAGUGAUCCGGUGGUUCUGAAUGGAAGGGCCAUCGCUCAACGGAUAAAAGGUACUCCGGGGAUAACAGGCUGAUACCGCCCAAGAGUUCAUAUCGACGGCGGUGUUUGGCACCUCGAUGUCGGCUCAUCACAUCCUGGGGCUGAAGUAGGUCCCAAGGGUACGGCUGUUCGCCGUUUAAAGUGGUACGCGAGCUGGGUUUAGAACGUCGUGAGACAGUUCGGUCCCUAUCUGCCGUGGGCGCUGGAAGAUUGAGAGGGGUUGCUCCUAGUACGAGAGGACCGGAGUGAACGCACCGCUGGUGUUCGGGUUGUCAUGCCAAUGGCAUUGCCCGGUAGCUAAGUGCGGAAAAGAUAAGCGCUGAAAGCAUCUAAGCGCGAAACUUGCCUCGAGAUGAAUCUUCCCUGACUCCUUGAGAGUCCUGAAGGGACGUUGAAGACGACGACGUUGAUAGGCCGGGUGUGUAAGCGCAGCGAUGCGUUGAGCUAACCGGUACUAAUGACCCGUGAGGCUUAACCUUACAACGC
rnacentral:rRNA from 1 species